UACGGAGGGGGCUAGCGUUGUUCGGAAUUACUGGGCGUAAAGCGCACGUAGGCGGCUUUGUAAUGUUAGAGGUGAAAGCCCGGGGCUCAACUCCGGAAUUGCCUUUAAGACUGCAUCGCUAGAAUUGUGGAGAGGUAAGUGGAAUUCCGAGUGUAGAGGUGAAAUUCGUAGAUAUUCGGAAGAACACCAGUGGCGAAGGCGACUUACUGGACACAUAUUGACGCUGAGGUGCGAAAGCGUGGGGAGCAAACAGG
rnacentral:rRNA from 1 species